rnacentral:rRNA from 1 species
UACGGAGGGGCUAGCGUUGUUCGGAAUUACUGGGCGUAAAGCGCACGUAGGCGGCUUUGUAAGUUAGAGGUGAAAGCCCGGAGCUCAACUCCGGAAUUGCCUUUAAGACUGCAUCGCUUGAAUCAUGGAGAGGUGAGUGGAAUUCCGAGUGUAGAGGUGAAAUUCGUAGAUAUUCGGAAGAACACCAGUGGCGAAGGCGGCACUCUGGGCCGGUACUGACGCUGAGGAGCGAAAGCGUGGGAGCGAACAGG